rnacentral:rRNA from 1 species
GUCGGGAAUAUUGCACAAUGGAGGAAACUCUGAUGCAGUGACGCCGCGUGCAGGAAGAAGGUUUUCGGAUUGUAAACUGCUUUAGAUAGGGAAGAUAAAAGACUGUACCUAUAGAAUAAGCUCCGGCUAACUACGUGCCAGCAGCCGCGGUAAUACGUAGGGAGCAAGCGUUAUCCGGAUUUAUUGGGUGUAAAGGGUGCGUAGACGGGAAUUUAAGUUAGUUGUGAAAUCCCUCGGCUUAACUGAGGAACUGCAACUAAAACUGAAUUUCUUGAGUGCGGGAGAGGAAAGUGGAAUUCCUAGUGUAGCGGUGAAAUGCGUAGAUAUUAGGAGGAACACCAGUGGCGAAGGCGACUUUCUGGACCGUAACUGACGUUGAGGCACGAAAGUGUGGGGAGCAAACAGG